UCCCAUUUCCUUAGCUUUCAUUUUAUUUCAUUUCCUUAGAUUUCCAUACUUGAACCCUGAAUUGUGCCGACUGAAGCUCCAUGGUUCACAUUCAGCCACAAGGAUAGAAGCGGCCAUUUACUGCCUUUGGAACAUCAUGGGGAGUUGAAGGAAUGGAUGUUCAGCAGCAGCAGCAGUGAGGAAGAGAGGCUCUGGGACCCCAUCAAUGUCUGGAUGUGGCUGCCUGCCUGUGGAGAAGACAAUCUGUCAGAAGAUUUGUGGUGCUGAAAGGAUGUGAUUAAAGUAGAAAAAAAAAAAAGUACAGAAUACCUCUCCGAUACAAGAUGGGACUCCAGAAUUUAAUUCACCAUGGUGUACUAGGAGGAGUGAAUCAUAUGUAUCUCUGAGUGGGAGAAGAUUGGAAGAUCAUCUAGUCCAAUCCUUUCAUUUCUUAAAGGUGGAUUCUGAGACUCAGUGAGGCCCAGGCUUACAUAGUUCAAUAGACGAUUUAUGCUCAAAUAAAGAAGAAGAGAUGCAAUUUACCAUCCAAUCAGAAUCAACAAAUUAUUUUAGGACCCUUGAACAGAGUUCCCAGGUAUUUCUCUUGACCAAGAAGGAAAUUCUUAGAGGAAAGACAGCCAUUCUACGUGUAUAAUCAGGAACAAUUUAUGGCUACCACUUCUGUUUGUGGUCUGAAGACCAUCAGUCAGGCCUGGAGUCACUGCUGUGUUUCCAUUAUGUCUCAAAUCCAGAUAAAAAGUUACGACAAAAAUAGAUUGAGUGGUGAAUAUAUACUAACCGACAAGAUAUCUGGCCUCAUGAAUCUUAAAUAUAAAGUUUCACUUGCUCAUAGGGUGCCGGGUGCAGAGGCCUUGCCCCCCACACUUCAGACUAGAGUUUCUUGUGCAAAACAGCUGCGCCCAACACCUCAGCUCUAGGCCGUGUGCAGAAGUGCUGUGCAUGAUACCGAAAUCCAAGAUGGCGUCAGUGGGCCAUGUGUAGAGACACUGUACCCAGCACUGUGAUCUGGAGUGACUGCCGGAAGCAGCACAGCUGAACCAGACCCAGGAGGACGCUGUCCCUGCCCUGAUGAGGAGACCCCUAUGAAGCAGCUCAGACCACAGCCCGUGGGGGAGAACUUGUGCUGUAGGGCACGAGCUCACACCUCUCCAUU